GAUGAACGCUGGCGGCGUGCCUAAUACAUGCAAGUCGAGCGAACGGACGAGAAGCUUGCUUCUCUGAUGUUAGCGGCGGACGGGUGAGUAACACGUGGAUAACCUACCUAUAAGACUGGGAUAACUUCGGGAAACCGGAGCUAAUACCGGAUAAUAUUUUGAACCGCAUGGUUCAAAAGUGAAAGACGGUCUUGCUGUCACUUAUAGAUGGAUCCGCGCUGCAUUAGCUAGUUGGUAAGGUAACGGCUUACCAAGGCAACGAUGCAUAGCCGACCUGAGAGGGUGAUCGGCCACACUGGAACUGAGACACGGUCCAGACUCCUACGGGAGGCAGCAGUAGGGAAGCUUCCGCAAUGGGCGAAAGCCUGACGGAGCAACGCCGCGGGAGUGAUGAAGGUCUUCGGAUCGUAAAACUCUGUUAUUAGGGAAGAACAUAUGUGUAAGUAACUGUGCACAUCUUGACGGUACCUAAUCAGAAAGCCACGGCUAACUACGUG
rnacentral:rRNA from 1 species